ensembl:rRNA 5S_rRNA 5S ribosomal RNA
GCCUACAGCCAUACCACCGUGAACACACCUAAUCUUAUCUGAUGUUGGAAACUAAGCAGGGUUGGGCCUGAUUAGUACUGAAAGCGAGAAAUGUUAGCU